CCUACGGGUGGCAGCAGUGGGGAAUAUUGCACAAUGGGGGAAACCCUGAUGCAGCGACGCCGCGUGAGUGAAGAAGUAUUUCGGUACGUAAAGCCCUAUCAGCAGGGAAGAAAAUGACGGUACCUGACUAAGAAGCCCCGGCUAACUACGUGCCAGCAGCCGCGGUAAUACGUAGGGGGCAAGCGUUAUCCGGAUUUACUGGGUGUAAAGGGAGCGUAGACGGCAGCGCAAGUCUGGAGUGAAAGCCCAUGGCUUAACCACGGAACUGCUUUGGAAACUGUGCAGCUAGAGUGCAGGAGGGGUAAGCGGAAUUCCUGGUGUAGCGGUGAAAUGCGUAGAUAUUAGGAGGAACACCAGUGGCGAAGGCGGCUUACUGGACUGUAACUGACGUUGAGGCUCGAAAGCGUGGGGAGCAAACAGGAUUAGAUACCCUUGUAGUC
rnacentral:rRNA from 1 species